rnacentral:misc_RNA from 1 species
AACUUCUCAACCACGUUGGAUAUUAAUCUUUUCAAUGUUGGCUUGGAUGUGGGGGUUGUUUGCAGGCUUUUUGUAACAAAAAGGUCGGCUCCCCUGAAAUAUAUUAGUGGUAUCUGAGGCUAUUGCUAUUAGGUGUGAUAAUUAUCUAUGCCUUUUGGGUAUGCCGCAUGAACAGAUUACACUGCUUCUAACGAAAACUAUUUUGAUGA